rnacentral:rRNA from 1 species
GUGAACGCUGGCGGUAGGCCUAACACAUGCAAGUCGCACGGCAGCACAGUAAGAGCUUGCUCUUACGGGUGGCGAGUGGCGGACGGGUGAGGAAUACAUCGGAAUCUACUUUUUCGUGGGGGAUAACGUAGGGAAACUUACGCUAAUACCGCAUACGACCUACGGGUGAAAGCAGGGGAUCUUCGGACCCUGCGCGAUUGAAUGAGCCGAUGUCGGAUUAGCUAGUUGGCGGGGUAAAGGCCCACCAAGGCGACGAUCCGUAGCUGGUCUGAGAGGAUGAUCAGCCACACUGGAACUGAGACACGGUCCAGACUCCUACGGGAGGCAGCAGUGGGGAAUAUUGGACAAUGGGCGCAAGCCUGAUCCAGCCAUACCGCGUGGGUGAAGAAGGCCUUCGGGUUGUAAAGCCCUUUUGUUGGGAAAGAAAAGCAGCAGGUUAAUACCCCGCUGUUCUGACGGUACCCAAAGAAUAAGCACCGGCUAACUUCGUG